CCUACGGGUGGCAGCAGUAGGGAAUAUUCCACAAUGGGCGAAACCUUGAAGCAGCAACGCCGCGUGGAGGAUGAAGGUUUUCGGAUUGUAAACUCCUUUUGUAAGAGAAGAUAAUGACGGUAUCUAACGAAUAAGCACCGGCAAACUCCGUGCCAGCAGGCGCGGUAAUACGGAGGGUGCAAGCGUUACUCGGAAUCACUGGGCGAAAGGGCGCGUAGGCGGGAUAGCAAGUGACAUGUGAAAUCCUAUGUCUUAACCAUAGAACUGCAUUUGAAACUUGUACUCUAGCGUAAGGGAGAGGUAAGUGGAAUUCUUGGUGUAGGGGUAAAAUCCGUAGAGAUAAAGAGGAAUACUCAUUGCGAAGGCGACCUGCUAGGACAUUACUGACGCUGAGGCGCGAAAGCGUGGGGAGCAAACAGGAUUAGAUACCCCAGUAGUC
rnacentral:rRNA from 1 species